rnacentral:rRNA from 1 species
UACAGAGGGUGCAAGCGUUAAUCGGAAUUACUGGGCGUAAAGCGUGCGUAGACGGUUACAUAAGUCGGGUGUGAAAGCCCCGGGCUCAACCUGGGAAUGGCAUUUGAUACUCGAGGGCUUGAGUACGGGAGAGGAGAGUGGAAUUCCCAGUGUAGAGGUGAAAUUCGUAGAUAUUGGGAAGAACACCGGUGGCGAAGGCGGCUCUCUGGACCGUAACUGACGCUGAGGCGCGAAAGCGUGGGGAGCAAACAGG